rnacentral:lncRNA from 1 species
UUUCAAACAGACGCCGCUAAAGUCUGGAAUGUCCCAAUUUCGACGAAAAGCGUGGCGUUAUUAUCAUAUAGCCUCUUUGGGCGUCGCGAGAUGUUUUGGUGCCUGAAACGCGCACCUGACUUGAACCAGACGGACGAAUGUUUGUCUUGCGCUGUAAUUGUUAUGGGAGUGUUCUACAAAUUAUAGAGGACACGUGUUUAGGCCCGACUCUCGCCUUUCCAGCAUCUCCAGUUCACAUCAGAAGGAGGGGAAAAGGGUCGGGACAGCAAUGACAACUCUCGUACCGCUGCACAACGAACUGCGCACCUGAGAACCAUUUGCGGAGGUCGACGUACCGAGAGUUUCCUCCGCAGCUGAAGAGUCAUUCGUGCAUUUCUUCUCGUCCUCGUGCCGGUGACAAGCAUCGCUGCGGUACACCCGUGUAAAAGGGAAGCUCUUCGCCAGGUCCUGAAUGUUGUUAAACACUUCAGAGUAUUUCAGGGUAUGUCAAGCGUACAUGCAACCCACUACAAUGGAACACCUAAGCAAUGGUGAUGGACACAGUCAUGCGAUUCUGUCCUUCUUUUCCUUUUCUUGUAAGCGCGUGAGGAACAUGCGGCACAAUAUCUGGCGUCUAAAUGACGCCAACCAAAAGUGGAAGACAACGUUCCUGACAAAGCAAGUGUUACGCUUUGACGACCAGCAAACGUAGUACUGUAGCGGAUUGCUACUUAAUACAAACCUUAUGUGGAAGAUGUGGAGAAUGGCAUACGAAUGGGGAACUGCAUCUAGUCAGAAGGAUGGUAGUAAAAGAGAGGAAGCAUAGUGAAAUUUUAUCGCUGUGAUGGCAUAUCAGUUUAAUAUUUCCUUAACAGUACCGGCAACAGCCUAAAUGUGUAUCGACGAGGAACGUGUCUUUGUGUAAAGUCCCGACGGCGGAGACAAUGCCAAAGACGUUGCUCUAAAGUACGUAAAGAGACAUGUGCACACGCCCCUCUGAUGGUGACCCGUGGUAGAUAGUCC